AGCAGCCGCGGUAAUUCCAGCUCCAAUAGCGUAUAUUAAAGUUGUUGCAGUUAAAAAGCUCGUAGUUGAAUUUCGGGGUCAGUAGUUUGGUCGUGCCACAGGUAUGUACUGAUCUUACUGAUUCCUCCUUCCUGACUGAACCGUAAUGCCAUUAAUUUGGUGUUGCGGGGAAACUGGACUGUUACUUUGAAAAAAUUAGAGUGUUUAAAGCAGGCUAACGCUUGAAUACAUUAGCAUGGAAUAAUGAAAUAGGACGUUCGAUCCUAUUUUGUUGGUUUCUAGGAUUGACGUAAUGAUUAAUAGGGAUAGUUGGGGGCAUUAGUAUUCAAUUGUCAGAGGUGAAAUUCUUGGAUUUAUUGAAGACUAACUACUGCGAAAGCAUUUGCCAAGGAUGUUUUCAUUAAUCAAGAACGAAAGUUAGGGGAUCGAAGACGAUCAGAUACCGUCGUAGUCUUAACCAUAAACUAUGCCGACUAGGAUCGGAUGAUGUUAAUUUUUUAAUGUACUCAUUCGGCGCCUU
rnacentral:rRNA from 1 species